rnacentral:rRNA from 1 species
UUUACUCCUACGGGAGGCAGCAGUGGGGAAUAUUGCACAAUGGGCGCAAGCCUGAUGCAGCGACGCCGCGUGAGGGAUGACGGCCUUCGGGUUGUAAACCUCUUUCAGUAGGGAAGAAGCGAAAGUGACGGUACCUGCAGAAGAAGCGCCGGCUAACUACGUGCCAGCAGCCGCGGUAAUACGUAGGGCGCAAGCGUUAUCCGGAAUUAUUGGGCGUAAAGAGCUCGUAGGCGGUUUGUCGCGUCUGCCGUGAAAGUCCGGGGCUCAACUCCGGAUCUGCGGUGGGUACGGGCAGACUAGAGUGAUGUAGGGGAGACUGGAAUUCCUGGUGUAGCGGUGAAAUGCGCAGAUAUCAGGAGGAACACCGAUGGCGAAGGCAGGUCUCUGGGCAUUAACUGACGCUGAGGAGCGAAAGCAUGGGGAGCGAACAGGAUUAGAUACCCUGGUAGUCCAUGCCGUAAACGUUGGGCACUAGGUGUGGGGGACAUUCCACGUUUUCCGCGCCGUAGCUAACGCAUUAAGUGCCCCGCCUGGGGAGUACGGCCGCAAGGCUAAAACUCAAAGGAAUUGACGGGGGCCCGCACAAGCGGCGGAGCAUGCGGAUUAAUUCGAUGCAACGCGAAGAACCUUACCAAGGCUUGACAUGAACCGGAAAGACCCUGAAACCAGGGCCCCCCA